rnacentral:rRNA from 1 species
GGGUAAAACCAGGUGGAGGACCGAACCAGGGUCUGUUGCAAUAGACUUGGAUGACGUGUGGCUAGGGGUGAAAUUCCAAUCGAACUCGGAAAUAGCUGGUUCUCCCCGAAAUAGCUUUAGGGCUAGCGUUGUAAUGAAAAUUUUAUGGAGGUAGAGCACUGAAUGUGUGAUGGUCUCACCUCGAGAUACUGAUCUCAAUUAAACUUCGAAUGCCAUAAAAUAUGUACAGCAGUCAGACUGCGAGUGAUAAGGCCCGUAGUCAAAAGGGAAACAGCCCAGACCGCCAGUUAAGGUCCCGAAAUCUAUGCUAAGUGGGAAAGGAAGUGGAGUCGUAGAGACAACUAGGAGGUUGGCUUAGAAGCAGCCAUCCUUUAAAGAGUGCGUAAUAGCUCACUAGUCGAAUGAUUCUGCGCCGAAAAUGUAUCGGGGCUAAAGCAUAUUACCGAAGCUGCGGAUAUAAAAUUUUUAUUUUAUGUGGUAGGGGAGCGUAGUUAAUGCGCUGAAGCAAGACCGAGAGGACUUGUGGAGUGUUAAGUAGUGAGAAUGCCGGUGUGAGUAACGAAAAGAUGGGUGAGAAUCCCAUCCGUCGAAAGCCUAAGGUUUCCAGAGGAAGGUUCGUCCGCUCUGGGUUAGUCGGGUCCUAAGGUCAGGCUGAAAAGCGUAGCCGAUGGACAUCAGGUUGAUAUUCCUGGACCACUUAUAUGACUGAUGGAAUGACGAAGAAGGCUAGAAUAGGCAAAUUAGUGGAUUUUUGUAGAAGGGUGUAGGUGGAAGAUCUAUGCAAAUCAGGAUCUUUAAUUAAACACUAAAACCCAAAAUAAUUUAUUUGAUGCCAAACUUCCAAGAAAAGUUUCUAAGAUUAUUAUAUAAGUGCCCGUACCGUAAACCGACACAGGUAGGCGAGGGGAAGAAAUCCAAAGACGCGCGAGAAAACUCUUGUUAAGGAACUCUGCAAAAUGACCCCGUAACUUCGGAAUAAGGGGGGCUCAUCUUGAAUGAGCCGCAGAUAAUAGGCCCAAGCGACUGUUUAUCAAAAACACAGGUCUCUGCUAAACCGCAAGGUGAAGUAUAGGGGCUGACGCCUGCCCAGUGCUGGAAGGUUAAGAGGAGGAGUUAGGAGCAAUCCGAAGCUUUGAAUUGAAGCCCCAGUAAACGGCGGCCGUAACUAUAACGGUCCUAAGGUAGCGAAAUUCCUUGUCGGGUAAGUUCCGACCCGCACGAAAGGCGUAACGAUUUGGGCGCUGUCUCAACUCGAGACUCGGUGAAAUCAUAUUAUUGGUGAAGAUGCCAAUUACCCGCGACUAGACGGGAAGACCCCAUGGAGCUUCACUGCAACUUGAUAUUGAUAUUGGGUAUUGGAUGUACAGGAUAGGUGGGAGACUAAGAAGCAAGGACGCUAGUUUUUGCAGAGUCGCCCUUUGGAUACCACCCUUCUAAUAUUUAGUGUCUAACUAGAGGCCAUAAUCUGGUCAUAGGACAGUGUCAGGUGGGCAGUUUGACUGGGGCGGUCGCCUCCUAAAGAGUAACGGAGGCGCCCAAAGGUUCCCUCAGAAUGUAUGGAAAUCAUUCGAAGAGUGUAAAGGCAGAAGGGAGCUUGACUGCAAGAUGGACAUAUCGAGCAGGAACGAAAGUUGGGCUUAGUGAACCGGCUGUGCUGAAUGGAAAGGCAGUCGAUCAACGGAUAAAAGCUACCCUGGGGAUAACAGGCUGAUCUCCCCCAAGAGUUCACAUCGACGGGGAGGUUUGGCACCUCGAUGUCGGCUCGUCGCAUCCUGGGGCUGGAGUAGGUCCCAAGGGUUGGGCUGUUCGCCCAUUAAAGCGGUACGCGAGCUGGGUUCAGAACGUCGCGAGACAGUUCGGUCCCUAUCUGUCGUGGGCGUAGGAAAUUUGAGAGGAGCUGCUCUUAGUACGAGAGGACCAGAGUGGACGCACCGCUGGCGAACCAGUUAGUCUACCAGGGCUACAGCUGGGUAACUAAGUGCGGAAGGGAUAAACGCUGAAAGCAUCUAAGCAUGAAGCCCCCCUCAAGAUGAGAUUUCCCAUUAGCAAUAAGUAAGACCCCUUAGAGAUGAUGAGGUAGAUAGGUCAGGAGUGU